rnacentral:sRNA from 1 species
GAAAGAAGCAUUAGCCAUAGUUUGGG